ACAGUACUGUUUUAUAUAACAUUUACCAAGAAGUGUCCAGAAAUAAUAUGUUGGUACAUACUGUACAGCAGGAAUAGACAAACUAGAUUGAUUUUGGGGCCACAUUUCCAGAAAGCCGAACCCGCCCAUCCAGUAUUAUUCUUAUUUUGUAUUUUCCAGAGAACUAACAUCCUCUACAGUAGACAUUUUGGUCUAUUUAGUUUGUCAGAGUUACACGAGUGCUCUGCUGUUUUUAAAGAACUACCACAAAAAAGCUAGUCAAAGAUCAUUUCCGACAGCACUCUCGUGCACUGUGGUACAUGUUCCAGUAGUGGUACACGGGCUCCAUCAGUGGUGCGCCAAAGAAACACUGGAUUGAAGUGCAGUGUUUUUUGUUUUUAUUUUUAAACAGUGUUACUGUUCAAACUGUGUAAUGUUACAGUGACCAAAAAUACCUGUUAAAAAAAGCCUCUGUAUUGUUUUUAAUGAAUACGUAGGUCUACUACGCUACUGUAGUUCAGUGUUGAUCGUCAUGGUGGUACUUGCAGAGUCAAGUUUUUUCUGGGGUGGUACUCAAUGAAAAAAGUUUGACAAUCACUAGUCUAGUGCAGGGCCGUAACCAGGAUUUGACAAAUUCUGAGGUCAAAAAUGUGGUGGUCCAAGAGGAGCUUUUGAAAGGCUGAAAUCAUGGGUAUACAGCAGCAUAUAAACAAUAUUACCUUGAGCAACACAAUUAACAAUCCACUUUUUUUAAUUCCUAAGCUGUCAUUUAAUGUAAUAAACAGUUCAAACAUCAUUAAAAUAUCAAUUCGAAAACUUAACAUCAUUUAUACCUUGACAUGGAAUUGAACACAAGGUCUCUACUCUGUAGCUUUAGUCCUAAUGACACGUGCCACCAAGAGUUAUGAGGCAAAAUUUGUCUUCAUGUUCUAAUCAGUGACAGUGCUUCAGGGUAUAAUUUAAUGUGAAGCGCCUUGUCAUUCAAUAAUUUACAUUUGAAGUGUGUUUCUUCUCAAAAAAAACGGGCCCCCCACGGCUAACAAAGCCAUGCGGGGCGGCACCUGACAAGACAACGAUAUAAGCUAAAGUUCCAAUGGUUAUCACACGCACGAGGUGUGGUGAAAUCUACAUUUGACCCAUCUCCAUGUUCACCCCCUGGGAGGUAAGUGGAGCAAUGAGCAGCAGCGUGCGCCGCGCUCGGGAAUCAUUUUGGUGAUUUAAACCCCAAUUCCAACACUUGUAGCUGAGUGCCAAGCAGAGAGGCAACGGGUCCCAUUUUUGUAGUCUUUGGUAUAACUGCCGGGGUUUGAACUCACAACCUCCCAGUCUCAGGGCGGACACUCUAACUGCAAGGCCACUGAGCUGGUAUAAUUUAUGUUGACAGCACAUUUUGGAUUGGAUAAUGUUUAAAGUAGGGUUGUACGGUAUACCGGUAUUGGUAUAGUACCGCAAUACUAAUGAAUCAUAUUCGGUACUAUACCGCCUCUGAAAAGUACCGGUCCCCCAACCAAUUCUUGCCUCCAUGGCUACAAUUAAAGCAAGUUUCUUACAAGUAUCAUCCCUGCAGGACGAGGAAUAGCUAAACAUGCUUCACUACACACCGUAGCUCACAGGCGUCAAAACGUAAACAAACGCCAUUGGUGGAUCUAAACGUGACAUCCACUGUAAUGAUAGCAAGUACAGGAGCGUAUCCAGUCGAUACUACUAAGAUUACGUCUAUUUUUCAGCAUCACAAAAUCUUUUUUCGUUUUUCAAAAAUGUGUUUUCUCUUUAUAAACUCAGGAAAUAUGUCCCUGGACACAUGAGGACUUUAUGACCAAUGUAUGAUCCUGUAACUACUUGGUAUCGGAUCAAUACCUAAAUUUGUGGUAUCAUCCAAAACUAAUGUAAAGCAUCCAAACAACAGAAGAAUAAGUGACUACAUUUUAGCAAGAGUGUAGAUAGAACAUGUUAAAGAGAAAGUAGGCAGAUGUUAAGAGUAAAUGAACAAGCAUAUUAAUAAUUAAUUUUCUGCCGCGUUUCUUUAAUCAUUUUGACAAUAUAAUAGAAUGGAAAAUGACACAAUAUGUUACUGCAUAUGUCAGCAGCUAAAUUAGGAGCCGUUGUUUGCUUACUACUAAAAGACAAGUUGUCUUGUAUGUUCACUAUUUUAUUUAAGGACAAACCUGCAAUAAGAAAAAUAUGUUUAAUGUAUUCAAAUAUUUUUUGUUAAAAUAAAGCCAACAAUGCUCCCAAAAUAUUGGUAUCGGGGAAAACCUUAGUUUAAAGUAAAAGUGGACUGUGAACGACCCUGUUGUCGCUCGGGUUCCACUGACCACCCAGGAAGAACAUCUCUCUAGCAGGUUUGACUCUUUUAUUUUUCAAUAAAGGCAGUCUUUUGCGCCGUCGUCGCUCCCACUGCUCUCUCGUCUGUGUCUCGCUCUCCGGUCCGCUCUUUAGUCGGCCGCAUCUCCGUCUCUCGUGUCUUGCUCUCUCUUGCUUCUUGGUCGCUGUUGCCGGCUCUCCAACUCCUUUCUUGAUCUCGCCUCCUUCUCCCCUUUUAUACAUCAUAAGGAGAAAUAAUUGUUUGCCGGUGCGCGAUCCAGGCACCUGAAUUAGAUUGCGGCGGUCUCUCUCCUGGCACGCCCCGCCUCUCCGCUCGGCCGCAUUCUCCGCCUCCUUGCCGCCAUCUUGGGCAGGGCUCUAGCGCGCCCCGGCCCGUCGGCUCCGCCUUUCCACAUGGACUUUAUUACAUCACGGUGUCUGGAGUUGUAGCAGGCUGUGAAUGACCACAGAUUGUAUAGUGAGAGAGAAUGAUGUACCAUAUGGUGAUGUACAGUUUUGUCACUUAGAACAAAUACAGAGGACAUGACCUCAGUGUCCUCAAUGGUAGUUACAGCCAUGCUCUAGUGUUUUUUAACACUCGGCUGCAAAAAUGUGAGUCUCUCACAAAUUUUGUGAACUCAACUCAGUUGAAUAGCCCAAAUGACGAAAAAGAGAGGACCUAAAAUUGAACCUUGAGGAACACUACAAAAGCAGUUGAAAAAAUGACUGACUACAUCUGAUGUAAACAAGCAUAACCUUAGUUACAUAAAUCACAUUACGAUAGAAAGGAAAGGACUUAAAUGGGUGCUUUGAGGAACGCCUCAGUUAUGUAAAUCACAAGUUUGGACACCGGUGUUCUAAGUAUGCUCGCAAGGUUAAAAUGCUAAUGCAAGGAUCUGCCAAAGUGUUUACAGUGGCCCAAGUUCGUCUAUACAACAGGACUGUCAUGAUCCGCUGCCCAGAUCAUAUUUGUUUAGUUUUUGACUCCCUCAGUUUCUGUUUUGAGCACCCCUGGGUUGCCAUGACUGCAGAUUGUUUCCACCUGCCUCUGAUUUGUGUUCGGGAUGCUCACCUGUUCCUGGGCACUAAUCAGAGAGCUACUUAUUCCAUGCUUUUCGCCACACUCAGUCUGGUAUUCUUCUUUGCUUCCACACAACAGUUACAACGGCUACUUUUUUUGAUUCCUAUUAUAUGCUAAGCUUUCGCGCUGACCUUUUUCCUUAGCUUCCCGUGCUAUCGCCAUGUUUGUUUUCUUUGUUGGUACGUUGCAUGACUUAUGGACGAUAAAUCAUUUUCUUACCUGCACCUUGCCUGCAGAGUUCCCUCUGCAUCCUGGGGGAACAAUCCAUGCAGUAAAAUGCGACCCCGCCGUGACGAGGACCACUCAAGUGUUAGAAGUUUUCUGCAAAAAUGUUUGUCUACUAAGUUUUUACCUGAAUUCGGGGGGUCGGUAUCGUUUAUGGUUUUUCCCGGGCCACUAGUUAAGUAGCCCUACUAGAACCCUCACCCACGAGGAGGUAGAAGAGUUACGUGAGGCAUUUGUGGAGUUUGAUAAAGACAAAGAUGGCUUCAUAACCUGUAAAGACUUGGGUAACAUGAUGAGGACCAUGGGUUACA